rnacentral:tRNA from 1 species
GCCGACUUAUGAAUUAGUUAUCUUAUCUGCUUGUUUUUGAUUCAAAAUCAACCGUAGAAAUACGUGCCGGUUCGAGUCCGGCCUUCGGCACCA